ACUCAUUUGGAUGGACUUGGUUGG
rnacentral:siRNA from 1 species